rnacentral:rRNA from 1 species
GAUGAACGCUAGCGGCGUGCCUAAUACAUGCAAGUCGAGCGAACAGACGAGUAGCUUGCUCCUCUGACGUUAGCGGCGGACGUGUGUGUAACACAUGGAUAACCUACCUAUCAGACUGGUAUAACUUCGGGAGACCGGAUCUAAUACCAUAUAAUCUAUUGAACCCCAUGGUUCAUUAGUGAACGACGGUUUUUCGCGCACUUAUAUAUGGAUCCGCGCCUCGUUAGCUAGGUGGUAAGGUAACGGCUUACCAAGGCAACGAUGCGUAGCCGAAGGGAGAGGGUGAGCGGCGACCCUGGAACUGAGACAGGGUCCAGAGUCAGACGGGAGGCAGCAGUAGGAAAAGUUACGAAAGGGGAGAAAGCGUAAGGGAGAACCGCCGAGGGAGUGAGGAAGAACAUGGGAUCGUAAGACGCUGUCAGUAGGGACGAACAGAUGUGAAAGUAACGCUGCACGAAUUGAAGGUACCUAAUGAGAAAGCCACGGCUAACUACGUG